GGAUCCAGACUUUGAUUCUGGCUCAGAUUGAACGCUGGCGGCGUGCCUAACACAUGCAAGUCGAACGCGAAAGUUUCUUCGGAAAUGAGUAGAGUGGCGCACGGGUGAGUAACGCGUGGAUUAUCUACCUACUGGUACGGGACAACAGUUGGAAACGACUGCUAAUACCGUAUACGCUGGUAACGGGAAAGGGGGCCUCUUCUUGAAAGCUCUCGCCAGUAGAUGAGUCCGCGUUUCAUUAGCUAGACGGUGGGGUAACGGCCUACCGUGGCAACGAUGAAUAGCAGGCCUGAGAGGGUGGCCUGCCACACUGGGACUGGAACACGGCCCAGACUCCUACGGGAGGCAGCAGUGGGGAAUAUUGCGCAAUGGACGAAAGUCUGACGCAGCGACGCCGCGUGGAGGAUGAAGGUUUUCGGAUCGUAAACUCCUGUCAAGAGGGAAGAAACCUACCAUGAAUAAUACUCAUGGUAAUUGACGGUACCUCUAGAGGAAGCACCGGCUAAUUCAGUGCCAGCAGCCGCGG
rnacentral:rRNA from 1 species